rnacentral:rRNA from 1 species
GCCUAAAGCGUCCGUAGCCUGUUUUGUAAGUUUUCGGUUAAAUCCAUACGCUCAACGUAUGGGCUGCCGGAAAUACUGCAAAACUAGGGAGUGGGAGAGGUAGACGGUACUCGGGAGGAAGGGGUAAAAUCCUUUGAUCUCUCGAUGACCACCUGUGGCGAAGGCGGUCUACCAGAACACGUCCGACGGUGAGGGAUGAAAGCUGGGGGAGCAAACCGGAUUAGAUACCCGGGUAGUCCCAGCUGUAAACUAUGCAAACUCAGUGAUGCAUUGGCUUGAUGCCAAUGCAGUGCCGCAGAGAAGUCGUUAAGUUUGCCGCCUGGGAAGUACGUACGCAAGUAUGAAACUUAAAGGAAUUGGCGGGGGAGCACCACAAGGGGUGAAGCCUGCGGUUCAAUUGGAGUCAACGCCAGAAAUCUUACCCGGAGAGACAGCAGAAUGAAGGUCAAGCUGAAGACUUUACCAGACAAGCUGAGAAGUGGUGCAUGGCCGUCGCCAGCUCGUGCCGUGAGGUGUCCUGUUAAGUCAGGUAACGAGCGAGAUCCCUGCCUCUAGUUGCUACCAUUACUCUCAGGAGUAGUGGGGCGAAUUAGCGGGACUGCCGUAGUUAAUACGGAGGAAGGAGAGGGCCACGGCAGGUCAGUAUGCCCCGAA